ACAUCCAGAGAAUUUAGCAGAGAUGCUUUAGUGCCUUCGGGAACUCUGAGACAGGUGCUGCAUGGCUGUCGUCAGCUCGUGUUGUGAAAUGUUGGGUUAAGUCCCGNAACGAGCGCAACCCUUAUCCUUUGUUGCCAGCACGUAAUGGUGGGAACUCAAAGGAGACUGCCGGUGAUAAACCGGAGGAAGGUGGGGAUGACGUCAAGUCAUCAUGGCCCUUACGAGUAGGGCUACACACGUGCUACAAUGGCGCAUACAAAGAGAAGCGACCUCGCGAGAGCAAGCGGACCUCAUAAAGUGCGUCGUAGUCCGGAUUGGAGUCUGCAACUCGACUCCAUGAAGUCGGAAUCGCUAGUAAUCGUAAAUCAGAAUGUUACGGUGAAUACGUUCCCGGGCCUUGUACACACCGCCCGUCACACCAUGGGAGUGGGUUGCAAAAGAAGUAGAUAGCUUAACCUUCGGGAGGGCGUUUACCACUUUGUGAUUCAUGACUGGGGUGAAGUCGUAACAAGGUAAGCGUAGCGAG
rnacentral:rRNA from 1 species